UACGAAGGGGGCUAGCGUUGUUCGGAAUUACUGGGCGUAAAGCGCGCGUAGGCGGCCUUGUAUGUCGAUUGUGAAAGCCCCGGGCUCAACCUGGGAACUGCAGUCGAAACUGCAAGGCUUGAAUGUUGGAGAGGUUGGGGGAAUACCUAGUGGAGAAGUGAAAUUCGUAGAGAUUAGGUGGAACACCAGAGGCGAAGGCGCCUGACUGGCCAAACAUUGACGCUGAGGCGCGAAAGCGUGGGUAGCAAACAGG
rnacentral:rRNA from 1 species